rnacentral:rRNA from 1 species
GAACGUACGCUGGCGGCACGCCUAACACAUGCAAGUCGAACGAAGUAGCAAUACUUAGUGGCAGACGGGUGAGUAACAUGUAGGUAUCUGCCCUUUGGCCUGGAAUAACACGAGGAAACUUGUGCUAAUACCGGAUAAGUCUUUACGGAGAAAGCUUUAUGCACCAUUGGAUGAGCCUGCACUUGAUUAGUUUGUUGGUGGGGUAAUGGCCUACCAAGACUGUGAUCAAUAGCUGAUUUGGGAGGAUGAUCAGCCACAUUGGGACUGAGACACGGCCCAAACUCCUACGGGAGGCAGCAGUGGGGAAUCUUGCACAAUGGAGGAAACUCUGAUGCAGCGAUGCCGCGUGAGUGAAGAAGGCCUUUGGGUUGUAAAGCUCUUUCGUCGGGGAAGAAAAUGACUGUACCCGAAUAAGAAGGUCCGGCUAACUUCGUGCCAGCAGCCGCGGUAAUACGAAGGGACCUAGCGUAGUUCGGAAUUACUGGGCUUAAAGAGUUCGUAGGUGGUUGAAAAAGUUAGUGGUGAAAUCCCAGAGCUUAACUCUGGAACUGCCAUUAAAACUUUUCAGCUAGAGUAUGAUAGAGGAAAGCAGAAUUUCUAGUGUAGAGGUGAAAUUCGUAGAUAUUAGAAAGAAUACCAAUUGCGAAGGCAGCUUUCUGGAUCAUUACUGACACUGAGGAACGAAAGCAUGGGUAGCGAAGAGGAUUAGAUACCCUCGUAGUCCAUGCCGUAAACGAUGUGUGUUAGACGUUGGAAAUUUAUUUUCAGUGUCGCAGGGAAACCGAUAAACACACCGCCUGGGGAGUACGACCGCAAGGUUAAAACUCAAAUGAAUUGACGGGGACCCGCACAAGUAGUGGAGCAUGUGGUUUAAUUCGAAGAUACGCGCAGAACCUUACCAACACUUGACAUGUUCGUCGCGACUCUAAGAGAUUAGAGUUUUCGGUUCGGCCGGACGAAACACAGGUGCUGCAUGGCUGUCGUCAGCUCGUGUCGUGAGAUGUUGGGUUAAGUCCCGCAACGAGCGCAACCCUCACUUUUAGUUGCCAUCAUUAAGUUGGGCACUCUGAAAGAACUGCCAGUGAUAAGCUGGAGGAAGGUGGGGAUGACGUCAAGUCCUCAUGGCCCUUACGUGUUGGGCUACACACGUGCUACAAUGGUAUCUACAACAGGAAGCAAGACUGCGAAGUUAAGCAAAUCCCUAAAAGAUACCUCAGUUCGGAUUGCACUCUGCAACUCGAGUGCAUGAAGCUGGAAUUACUAGUAAUCGUGGAUCAGCGUGCCACGGUGAAUGCGUUCCCGGGUCUUGUACACACCGCCC